CAAACGACUCUCGGCAAUGGAUAUCUCGGCUCUUGUAUCGAUGAAGAACGUAGUGAAAUGCGAUACUUGGUGUGAAUUGCAGAAUCUCGUGAACCAUUGAGUCUUUGAACGCAAGUUGUGCCCGAGGCCUUGUGGCCGAGGGCACGCCUGCUUGGGUGUCAUGG
rnacentral:rRNA from 1 species